rnacentral:rRNA from 1 species
CGUACACUCCUACGGGAGGCAGCAGUGGGGAAUAUUGGACAAUGGGCGCAAGCCUGAUCCAGCCAUGCCGCGUGAGUGAUGAAGGCCCUAGGGUUGUAAAGCUCUUUCACCGGAGAAGAUAAUGACGGUAUCCGGAGAAGAAGCCCCGGCUAACUUCGUGCCAGCAGCCGCGGUAAUACGAAGGGGGCUAGCGUUGUUCGGAAUUACUGGGCGUAAAGCGCACGUAGGCGGAUCGAUCAGUCAGGGGUGAAAUCCCAGGGCUCAACCCUGGAACUGCCUUUGAUACUGUCGAUCUGGAGUAUGGAAGAGGUGAGUGGAAUUCCGAGUGUAGAGGUGAAAUUCGUAGAUAUUCGGAGGAACACCAGUGGCGAAGGCGGCUCACUGGUCCAUUACUGACGCUGAGGUGCGAAAGCGUGGGGAGCAAACAGGAUUAGAAACCCGAGUAGUCCCAUGAU